CGGGUGAGUGGCGGACGGGUGAGUAACGCGUGGGAAUCUGCCCUCAGGAGGGGGAUAACGGCUGGAAACGGCCGCUAAUACCCCAUAUGCCGAGAGGUGAAACGAAUUUCGCCUGAGGAUGAGCCCGCGUCUGAUUAGCUAGUUGGUGGGGUAAUGGCCCACCAAGGCGACGAUCAGUAGCUGGUCUGAGAGGAUGAUCAGCCACACUGGGACUGAGACACGGCCCAGACUCCUACGGGAGGCAGCAGUGGGGAAUUUUCCGCAAUGGGCGAAAGCCUGACGGAGCAACGCCGCGUGAGGGAUGAAGGCCUCUGGGCUGUAAACCUCUUUUCUCAAGGAAGAAGACAUGACGGUACUUGAGGAAUAAGCCACGGCUAAUUCCGUGCCAGCAGCCGCGGUAAUACGGGAGUGGCAAGCGUUAUCCGGAAUUAUUGGGCGUAAAGCGUCCGCAGGCGGCCCUGUAAGUCUGUCGUUAAAGCGUGGAGCUUAACUCCAUUUAAGCGAUGGAAACUACAGGGCUUGAGUGUGGUAGGGGCAGAGGGAAUUCCCGGUGUAGCGGUGAAAUGCGUAGAUAUCGGGAAGAACACCAGUGGCGAAGGCGCUCUGCUGGGCCAUAACUGACGCUCAUGGACGAAAGCCAGGGGAGCGAAAGGGAUUAGAUACCCCUGUAGUCCUGGCCGUAAACGAUGAACACUAGGUGUCGGGGGAAUCGACCCCCUCGGUGUCGUAGCCAACGCGUUAAGUGUUCCGCCUGGGGAGUACGCACGCAAGUGUGAAACUCAAAGGAAUUGACGGGGGCCCGCACAAGCGGUGGAGUAUGUGGUUUAAUUCGAUGCAACGCGAAGAACCUUACCAGGGUUUGACAUCCUGCGAAUCCCUUGGAAACUAGGGAGUGCCUUCGGGAGCGCAGAGACAGGUGGUGCAUGGCUGUCGUCAGCUCGUGUCGUGAGAUGUUGGGUUAAGUCCCGCAACGAGCGCAACCCACGUCUUUAGUUGCCAGCAUUCAGUUGGGCACUCUAGAGAGACCGCCGGUGAUAAACCGGAGGAAGGUGUGGAUGACGUCAAGUCAUCAUGCCCCUUACAUCCUGGGCUACACACGUACUACAAUGCUACGGACAAAGGGCAGCAAGCUCGCGAGAGUUAGCAAAUCCCAUAAACCGUGGCUCAGUUCAGAUCGUAGGCUGCAACUCGCCUACGUGAAGGAGGAAUCGCUAGUAAUCGCAGGUCAGCAUACUGCGGUGAAUACGUUCCCGGGCCUUGUACACACCGCCCGUCACACCAUGGAAGUUGGCCAUGCCCGAAGUCGUUACUCCAACCC
rnacentral:rRNA from 1 species